UAACCACGGUACAGCAGGCAG
rnacentral:misc_RNA from 1 species